rnacentral:lncRNA from 1 species
AUGGAGGAGUUACCGCCACCACCUGAGGAGCCUCCUGUGAAGGAGGAGAAAUCGGCUAUUGUUCCGGUUCCGAUUUUGGAGAAGCUUAGUAGUUUCGAGUCGGAAGCUCCUCAUUCAUGGGAUGAGGUUAGUAAAGCCCUUGAAGACCUUAAACCUGCUCUCCGCUCUGUUACAGAACCACCCCCGACAAAUCCCCUUGCUGUCACCGCCGCAACUCCCGCCGUUGUAGUUGCUAAACAACCCCCACGUAAGAGCUCGAGUUUCCACACGGUAGCAGAGCUUGACGCCAAGUUAUCGCCUUCCUCCAAGCCGACCGCCGAAUCUAAGACUGCUGGGUUGAGGAAAACGGCUACUUUUAGACCCGGACCGGAGAAGCCGGAGCAAAGAACC